GGAAUGGCUAAGUUGGGCUAAUUAACAUAUGCAGACUUUUUUUUGUGAUGAGAACACUUAAAACUAUUUUCUUAGCAAUUUUUAAGGAUAAAAUACAUUGCUGUUAACUAUAAGUCACCAUGUUUUAUAAUAGAUCUCUUGAACUUAUUCUUCCUAUCUAACUGAAAUUUUGUAUCCAAUAUCUCUCCCACACCUUCACCACGAUACACCCAGUAUAUAGUAACCACUUAACAUGGUUUGGCUCUGUGUCCCCACCCAAAUCUCAUGUCAAAUUGUAAUUCCCAGUGUUGCAGGAGGGGCCUGGUGGGAGGUGACUGAAUCAUGGGUGUGGACUUCCCCCUUGCUGUUCUUGUAACAGAGUUCUCAUGAGAUCUAGUUGUUUGGAAGUAUGUAGCACCACCCCCUUCUCUCUCUCUCUCUCCUGCCAGCGAGGUUAACAUGUGCUUGCUUCCCCUUUGUCCUCUGCAAUGAUUUUAAGUUUCUUGAGGCCUUCCCAGAAGCAGAAGCCUGUACAGUCAUCAGAAGUGCACUGUUCUAGAUAUUGGAGAUGGAGAAAUGAACAAGAUCCUGGAUACUGGAGAUGUCAACAGUGUUUUGGUUCUCUUUGAGCUCACAUUCUAGUCAAGAAAACCUACUUUGAACAGAGCUCCGUGGAAAAAAAAAAAAAAUGCAGUGCCAAAACACCAAAUGCAUGAUGGACACUUGUGAAGAUAUUGCAUAGAAGAACCAGGUAAGUGAAAGCGAGUAUUUUUAGAAUUGUAGGAGUACUUUUGGAGUACUUAUUAGGGUUUUUAAUAAAUAGUGUCAAGGUCACUCUGAAAAAAUAUAUGUCAUUUUGUCACUGGUCGCAAGGUACUUAAAUCACAUGAGCAUAUGAAAGGAUAUCUGUGCAUAUAGAAGGGUUAUUGUCACAUACUAAGCACUUGAUAAAUAUUGUUGACUACAUUAAGGAAAUAAUGAGUGAGUUAAAUUGGAUUUGAAACUACAUGUUCACUGUAACAUAGUAGUCACAAAUUAGGCUUUAGAGUCAGACAAUUCUUUACCUUUUCUGAGCCAUCUAACCCUAGACAAGUGCCUAACUUUCUAAGCCUCAGUUUUCUCAUCAGGAGAUGCAGAUAUGGACAGUACAGAGAUUCUGUGUGGAUUAAAUGAAAUUAUAUAGGUAAAUCACCUAUCACACUUGCCUGAUAAAUGACAUGAUCACAAUAAACAUCAGCUGUUGUUUAUAUUUCUUAUUUUUUAUGUUUAUCACUUAGUAAGUCUUUCUUCAUGCAUCUCACUUUGUUCACAAAUGUGUUGACUGACUUAAUGAGAGCUAAAAUAAUAAAGGUGAGAUUCUUUUUUGUUUAAAUACAAUGGCUUGUACUAAAGUGAAACAAAAGAUUUGUUUUAAUAUUGUACCUUUAAAAUAAUUUUCAACACAUUUGAAUGUUAAAAAAACUGAUUUUACUAGAUGAGAAAUAUGAUUUUUCUGUGCUGUGUAUAAAGAAGGGAUGUAUUUGAAGACAGUGAUCAAAAGUAAAGUGUUUGGAAAAACAA
rnacentral:lncRNA from 1 species